GUUCUCACUGAAAUUUUUAAAAUCCACGAUGAACAGGAAAUCCAUGACAUCUUCACCAAGCGCACUACGGCUCUCUGAGCCCUUCCUGUGUAUCUGCGCGAGGACGUUUCUGAUUUUUUCAGAACCUGCACAGACGAGUCUGAUGAGCCAGAGCUUGAUGGUAUUGCAGUGGGCCUCCUUACUGUCAUCAGUGACCAUGACGCAGUCCAAAGUCCAGUUCACUACCAACCUGUGAGAGUCUCUGUUGUCAUUGAAAGUGAUGCCGUGGUCAGCCUCCCCAGACUUGGCGAAGCCUUCCUGGUAAUCUUUGGACUGAUCUAUGCACUACACCUCAGCUAUCCCAAAGCACUGACCAACACUUUUGAAUUUAUUCAAAA